GAUGAACGCUGGCGGUGUGCCUAAUACAUGCAAGUCGAGCGAACAGACGAGGAGCUUACUCCUCUGACGUUAGCGGCGGACGGGUGAGUAACACGUGGAUAACCUACCUAUAAGACUGGGAUAACUUCGGGAAACCGGAGCUAAUACCGGAUAACAUGUUGAACCGCAUGGUUCAACAGUGAAAGACGGUCUUGCUGUCACUUAUAGAUGGAUCCGCGUCGCAUUAGCUGGUUGGUAGGGUAACGGCUUACCAAGGCAACGAUGCGUAGCCGACCUGUGAGGGUGAUCGGCCACACUGGAACUGAGACACGGUCCAGACUCCUACGGGAGGCAGCAGAAGGAGAUCUUCCGCAAUGGGCGAAAGCCUGACGGAGCAACGCCGCGUGAGUGAAGAAGAUCUUCGGAUCGUAAAACUCUGUUAUUAGGGAAGAACAAAUGUGUAAGUAACUAUGCACGUCUUGACGGUACCUAAUCAGAAAGCCACGGCUAACUACGUG
rnacentral:rRNA from 1 species